rnacentral:rRNA from 1 species
AGAGUUUGAUCCGUGGCUCAGAACGAACGCUGGCGGCAUGCCUAACACAUGCAAGUCGAACGAAGCCUUCGGGCUUAGUGGCGCACGGGUGCGUAACACGUGGGAAUCUGCCCUUCGGGUUCGGAAUAACAGUUAGAAAUGACUGCUAAUACCGGAUGAUGACGAAAGUCCAAAGAUUUAUCGCCGAAGGAUGAGCCCGCGUAGGAUUAGGUAGUUGGUAGGGUAAUGGCCUACCAAGCCGACGAUCCUUAGCUGGUCUGAGAGGAUGAUCAGCCACACUGGGACUGAGACACGGCCCAGACUCCUACGGGAGGCAGCAGUGGGGAAUAUUGGACAAUGGGCGAAAGCCUGAUCCAGCAAUGCCGCGUGAGUGAUGAAGGCCUUAGGGUUGUAAAGCUCUUUACCAGGGAUGAUAAUGACAGUACCUGGAGAAUAAGCUCCGGCUAACUCCGUG